GACGAACGUUGGCGGCGUGCUUAACACAUGCAAGUCGAACGGAAAGGCCCUGCUUUUGUGGGGUGCUCGAGUGGCGAACGGGUGAGUAACACGUGAGUAACCUGCCCUUGACUUUGGGAUAACUUCAGGAAACUGGGGCUAAUACCGGAUAGGAGCUCCUGCUGCAUGGUGGGGGUUGGAAAGUUUCGGCGGUUGGGGAUGGACUCGCGGCUUAUCAGCUUGUUGGUGGGGUAGUGGCUUACCAAGGCUUUGACGGGUAGCCGGCCUGAGAGGGUGACCGGCCACAUUGGGACUGAGAUACGGCCCAGACUCCUACGGGAGGCAGCAGUGGGGAAUAUUGCACAAUGGGCGGAAGCCUGAUGCAGCAACGCCGCGUGCGGGAUGACGGCCUUCGGGUUGUAAACCGCUUUCGCCUGUGACGAAGCGUGAGUGACGGUAAUGGGUAAAGAAGCACCGGCUAACUACGUGCCAGCAGCCGCGGUGAUACGUAGGGUGCGAGCGUUGUCCGGAUUUAUUGGGCGUAAAGGGCUCGUAGGUGGUUGAUCGCGUCGGAAGUGUAAUCUUGGGGCUUAACCCCUGAGCGUGCUUUCGAUACGGGUUGACUUGAGGAAGGUAGGGGAGAAUGGAAUUCCUGGUGGAGCGGUGGAAUGCGCAGAUAUCAGGAGGAACACCAGUGGCGAAGGCGGUUCUCUGGGCCUUUCCUGACGCUGAGGAGCGAAAGCGUGGGGAGCGAACAGGCUUAGAUACCCUGGUAGUCCACGCUGUAAACGGUGGGUACUAGGUGUGGGGUCCAUUCCACGGGUUCCGUGCCGUAGCUAACGCUUUAAGUACCCCGCCUGGGGAGUACGGCCGCAAGGCUAAAACUCAAAGGAAUUGACGGGGCCCCGCACAAGCGGCGGAGCAUGCGGAUUAAUUCGAUGCAACGCGUAGAACCUUACCUGGGUUUGACAUGGAUCGGGAGUGCUCAGAGAUGGGUGUGCCUCUUUUGGGGUCGGUUCACAGGUGGUGCAUGCCUGUCGUCAGCUCGUGUCGUGAGAUGUUGGGUUAAGUCCCGCAACGAGCGCAACCCUUGUUCACUGUUGCCAGCACGUUAUGGUGGGGACUCAGUGGAGACCGCCGGGGUCAACUCGGAGGAAGGUGGGGAUGACGUCAAGUCCUCAUGCCCCUUAUGUCCAGGGCUUCACGCAUGCUACAAUGGCUGGUACAGAGAGUGGCGAGCCUGUGAGGGUGAGCGAAUCUCGGAAAGCCGGUCUCAGUUCGGAUUGGGGUCUGCAACUCGACCUCAUGAAGUCGGAGUCGCUAGUAAUCGCAGAUCAGCAACGCUGCGGUGAAUACGUUCCCGGG
rnacentral:rRNA from 1 species